AGAGUUUGAUCCUGGCUCAGGACGAACGCUGGCGGCAGGCUUAACACAUGCAAGUCGAACGCGUGUAGCAAUACACGAGUGGCGCACGGGUGAGUAACGCGUGGAUAUCUGCCUUUUGGUUCGGAAUAACCUUGGGAAACCGAGGCUAAUACCGGAUGGUUCCUACGGGAUAAAGAUUUAUCGCCAAAAGAUGAGUCCGCGUCCGAUUAGCUAGUUGGUGAGGUAACGGCUCACCAAGGCGACGAUCGGUAGCUGGUCUGAGAGGACGAUCAGCCACACUGGGACUGAGACACGGCCCAGACUCCUACGGGAGGCAGCAGUGGGGAAUAUUGGACAAUGGGGGCAACCCUGAUCCAGCCAUGCCGCGUGAGUGAUGAAGGCCUUCGGGUUGUAAAGCUCUUUUGGCGGGGACGAUGAUGACGGUACCCGCAGAAUAAGCCCCGGCUAACUUCGUGCCAGCAGCCGCGGUAAGACGAAGGGGGCUAGCGUUGUUCGGAAUUACUGGGCGUAAAGCGCGUGUAGGCGGUUGUCCAAGUUGGAUGUGAAAGCCUUGAGCUCAACUCAAGAAAUGCAUUCAGGACUGGAUGACUAGAGGACCGGAGAGGAUAGUGGAAUUCCCAGUGUAGUGGUGAAAUACGUAGAGAUUGGGAAGAACACCAGUGGCGAAGGCGGCUAUCUGGACGGUUUCUGACG
rnacentral:rRNA from 1 species